GAGUUUGAUCCUGGCUCAGGACGAACGCUGGCGGCGUGCCUAAUACAUGCAAGUAGAACGCUGAAGACUUUAGCUUGCUAAAGUUGGAAGAGUUGCGAACGGGUGAGUAACGCGUAGGUAACCUGCCUACUAGCGGGGGAUAACUAUUGGAAACGAUAGCUAAUACCGCAUAACAGCAUUUAACCCAUGUUAGAUGCUUGAAAGGAGCAAUUGCUUCACUAGUAGAUGGACCUGCGUUGUAUUAGCUAGUUGGUGAGGUAACGGCUCACCAAGGCGACGAUACAUAGCCGACCUGAGAGGGUGAUCGGCCACACUGGGACUGAGACACGGCCCAGACUCCUACGGGAGGCAGCAGUAGGGAAUCUUCGACAAUGGACGCAAGUCUGAUGGAGCAACGCCGCGUGAGUGAAGAAGGUCUUCGGAUCGUAAAACUCUGUUGUUAGAGAAGAACGCGAGUGAGAGU
rnacentral:rRNA from 1 species